GGGAAGAGAAGUUCUUUUUCUGUUGGGCUGCUGAGGGGCGAUGAGGCCAGCCUGGGAGUGGUGGUGGAGAGGCCCCCUGAGCAGGACAGCAGCACAGAGGGCAGGAAGCCAAGCCAAGAGGCUGGGAGGGACGAUCCCUGCUGAUGGCGUCGAGCACCCAGGCUGUCAGCUGGAUGAGAAUGGAGAGCUCUGCCUGCUUCUCCUGCUGUGCUGUGCCCGGUGUCCAGAGCCAGCCGGCAGCCGCAGGGCAUCAGUGACGUGCGCUGGGCCAGUGAACACUGCAGACCACACAGGAGCAUACUUCCAGGAGUGCUAAGCGCCGUUGGCUCCUUCACUGUCCAUGGAGCCCAGCUCUGUGCCCGGCCCUGACUUGCGCUGUAGGCACGAUGGCCAUGAAGGAGACAAACUCUGCCGCCCCCUGGAGCCGUCGUCACAGAGGGACAAACAGUGAGCAGAGCACAGCAGCCCACUGUGCACGUGCAGCCAGAGGCGUCUUCUCCAAUGGAGGCCGAGGACGUCGCUCCCUGGUCCUGAUCCCCUGCUCCUUAGAACCUGACCCAGGGCCCUUGCUGUGGAACUGAGCUUGGACUAAUGAGGCAGCUCAGAGGUAGCCGCUGGCCAGCCAGCCAGGGCCCAAGCUCACAGAAGAGGAGAAAGCCUCAUCAGCAGAGCAUUCCACUGUCACAGCUGACUGCUUUCCAGGCCUGAGCUGGAGGAUAUCUAAGGGGCACCGCUGACCGCCCUCCACACCCUCGGCCAGGCAUCCCCGGUCAUCCCUCUCUGAGCAGCCGGCCCCUCCCCACCCCACAGGCCGGUCUGCCGCUGAUCCUCCUGGAGGACGCUGUCCCUGCCUGAACUCAGCCCAGGACCUGUACACACGUGCUCCAUUUCAGAGAAGACAGCGGCACUGCCCAGGAAGGUCAGAGCACCUUUGGACCCAGGAGUUCUGCUCCCAGGUAUAAACGCCAGUGAAGCAUGGGACCCGGCCCAGAGCCCCGAGCUGGAAUAGGCCCGCGUGUCUCUACAGGACAGUGCAUGAAUGUGGCCCAUCCACACAAGGGACACUAAACAGCCACAGGAAUGCACGCAUCCUGGGCACCCCCAGCAGCCAAGUGAGUCGCCCAGGCAGCCAGUCCCCAAAGAGGGUGCACAUCACAAUCUACAUGAAUGAAGAAAAAUGGGCAAAACUCAACGCCUCAGCUAAGGGUGCCCCCUGGGGAGUGAGACUAUGAGGCCGAGCAGGGACACGACUGUCACAGAAGUCAAGCACCAGUCAUCCAGGGAGGGCGGCUUUUGUCAGGAGGAACACAGUGCCUCUGAGCUGCUGGAAAUGUCCCAUCUACUGACUUGGGUGGUGAAUAUACCUGUCUAUACUACGUGAAUCUUUAAACUGUACACACACACAAAUAUGUAUGCAUAUAUACCGUGUCUUCUGUGUGUAUAUAUCACCGUUUUAAAAAGGAAAACAAUGAGCAAUUGUCCAAGAAAGUGAUGGAUUAUUAUUUUAAACAGGGCGAGAGAGCCCCUACUUUGCUCCUCACACAUGCAGGCCCAUUGUCACAGGUGGACCCCCCUGGCCUCCCCUGGCAGCACCCAACCCCCCCACCCCAUGUUCUCACCAGCAGCAAAUAAGACCUAAACCCAGGAGUUCCCAUCAAUGCAUGUUCCAGCUGCCUGAAUGGAAACCCCUUGUUCUAGAAGGACACUGGACGCCCA
rnacentral:lncRNA from 1 species